AUUUGCCUUCGUGAUGAGGGUUUAAUCUGUUUUACUAAGUUUGGUCUGAACCUUUGUGUCAGUAUCGACACUGUAUCUAGUUUCAGUUGAGAGAACAGAGCGCCAUCUCUCUCCUCUCACUCCACCUGGUCUCAUUUCUACAUCAACAGUCAUCGUUGGAUUUCUCCCUUCUCUGAGCACAAAAUCAACCCAGCGAGGUCAGAAACAUCAGCCAGUGGAAGAAAAGACAUGAACUCACCUCCGGCUGCAGAGUCUGAAGAACAUCGGUCCAUGUGAAGUCGACGGGAGGGCGAACAAGUGCUCCGCUCUCCCUCAUUCCCACAUUUCAGCUCCGGACGGCUGUGAGAGCAGCGGGGGAGACGUCGAGGCUCCUGCAGGCUCACAGGACCGUCCGGAUCGUGUUUUCCGUCUCUAAUCAUCAUCGCCAUCCUCCUCCUCGUCAUCAUCAUCAUCAUCACCACGGCACAGUCACCGAUUCUUGGUUCCUUCAUCCAACAUUUACGCGCCUGUAAUGUCGGGAGGACACAUCUACCAGGACGGUUUAGGCUGUUGUACUCUGCAGCUGUGUCGUUUUGAUUUCACUUUUGGACGUACACCAAAAAUAAUCGACGCGUAAAAGUCCUUCUUCAUUCGUGCGUAAAAGCUCGUCAAUGAGUGACGCGUUGUGCGUUUCGUCAGUGAGAGCAGGGUAAGUUUUCAGACGCGCUGUUGGCUCCUGUCAGGCGGAGACUUUGGGCAUCUGAGUGAACCUGUUGGAUUAUAAAAACCUCAAUCUGUCACUUUUAGGGGCGACAAGUUUUGGAGAGUCCGGCGCGUCUUCAGCGGAUUUUUUGUUCGGUUUGUUUUUUUGGUUUUUUUGCGCCUUUGUGACCCCGAAGCCCUUUCUGUGGUGAUUACAUGGUCGGAACAAUGUUUUUAUGCAACACGAGUGCCAUUAAGGACUGGAGCUACUUCCUCUCUCAGAUAUUGCCUCUGAUGAAUAAAACUAGCGGCUUGGUGAACAUGAACAAAGCGGAGGACGUGACGACCACCAUGGUGACGGCUCUGCAGCCGGACAGCGCCAUGAGCGCGAGUAACCCGCCUCUCAACUCCAACCAUACCUCGGGCAUGGAGCACGUCUUCCAGUACUCGUACUCGGAGAGCGACCUGCUGUACACGGACUACCGGACCCCGGCACGAGACUCCAUCCCGCUGCCCAAAGCGGUUCUGUACCUGGUGAUGGCGGCGCUGGUGGUGGUGGCGGUGGCGUACGCGAUAGUUGGACACCUGGUCAAGGAUGUGGUUAAUGACUUUGUCGGUAGAGGCAGGUCGAUCGUUGCCGAGGGUGACGGAGGUGAAGCCAGUGAACCAGGUAAAGAAACAAAUUUCACAUGGGUCGCAGUCUGCAGCACUUCCGAGGUUAACUGCAUCACUAACAACAUGAACGAGAUGAGCGAGCUGAGCGAGAGGCCUCGGCCGGUGGACAUGAGCUACAUAUCCCUGAACCACACCAACUGCCUGAGCCCCAGCAGGCCGGAGGAGGUGGUGGUCACCGUGGACGAGACGUUGCAGCAGCGACCUCCCGACACACACUCUGGGACUUAACCGUGACCUGCCGACCUUCUCUGGGAGAAAUACAGCAGCGUGUUUGCUCGCGUUUCUUGUUCAAGUGGAUUUAAAAGUCUUUCAUGAAUCAAAGCUCUAUCCACUGUUUUAUCACCUGCAGGUGGGCCGUCAUACCUGUGCAAUGUUGGGCCUGUGCUGGAACAUUGGAGGCGUCAGACGCUGGUGUUUGGAUCAGACUGGACUCCUCUCUGUGGAGCUGAGGACAGAGGACGGCUGCAGCUUUGGUUUUUUUGGGGAAAAUCUUGUUAUUUUUCAUUUUCGUCCUCAUUGUCCUUCCCCCACUUCCUUUUUUCUAAGUGACCCCUUUGUGAAAACUGUUAAUGUGACUCAUGCAGUUCACUGUAACCACAAACAGUAUGUAAUCACUCUGAAUAUACAACACACGCCUGUCAGUGCUUAUUGUAAUAUUGCUGCUAGCAAAGUUAAACACGUCACCUUUAUAAAAACAAUCAAAUCGACGACUUUUGGUUUUCCUGGCUGCAGUGAGAACAUUUUCUUUUUGUUGUAAUUGUUGUAAAAUGUGUAUGAAGCACCUUCAAUGACCGAGAGGCUGCAGAUGUUCACACCUCGUUCUCUUUCUGUAAUAAUGCUGUUAUAGUUACUGGAGGCAAAAAAAAAAAAAGUUGACAACACAGUGAUCAAAUCAAAGUGUUUUGUAGUUUCAUGUUACUAGCUUGAUAUGAACAAGUGCUAAAUCACCUUUAAGAGCUCUGGUUACACCUGAUUGCAAAAAAUCUAACACAAAAGUAUGAAAGCCAUCGUUGUUAUGUAAAAGAUAUUAAGCCGAGUUAAUUCAGUCGUGGAAAGUUUGUAAUUUGUCGGUGUUCUGGUUUAAUGUCCCCACAUGACGUCACCUCUGAAGCAAAAACUGCUCAUUGCUUGUUCAUUUUUCUAAUGUUUAAUAUUUCAUGUGAAACGGCUUUUUUUCAAUCAAAGCCUUUGUUUACCGUUAUUACCUCACUGUUAAGGGCUACGUACUGCUGCUGAAGGGUCCGUGACACCAACCCGGAGCUACGACUGACGGGGCUUAUCUUUCUGUGCAUGCUGUGAUCAUUACAACCUCUGUACACUGCUACUGACGUACGAACCAGACAUUUGUACACUCGUGCACACGUUCGAGGUGAAGUAGAGUAAAGCGGUGCUGGAAUACAGAUGGGACUUAUUUAAGGGCAGUAUUGUAAAAUGGUGUUUCACUCUGCAGCAGUGAUCAUUUCCCAGACGUUAAGUGUAAAGACUCAGAAUCUGAACCUGCAAAAAAAAACCCUAACUUUAAUUUUCACCACCUUGAUCACUGUAUUCCUUUUCAAGUCACCUAAUAAAUAUUCAUGGAUGAACGUGUUACUGUUAAUUACUUGUUUGUUAUUUUCAUAUCCAUUACUCAUUUUGAC
ensembl:lncRNA